AACGAACGCUGGCGGCGUGGAUUAGGCAUGCAAGUCGAACGAGAAAGGGUUCACAAGGACCCGAGUAAAGUGGCGAAAGGGUGAGUAGUACCUAGGUAACCUGCCCUGAAGACGGGGAUAACGUCUCUAACAGGACGCUAAUACCCGAUAUGUCGGCGGCCUCGCAUGGGGUUGCCGGUAAAGAUAGCCUCUGUACACAAGCUUUCACUUCAGGAGGGGCCUCGGGCCUAUCAGCUAGNGGCGGGGUAACGGCCCACCAAGGCUGGGACGGGUAGCCGGUCUGAGAGGAUGGUCGGCCACACUGGGACUGAGACACUGCCCAGACUCCUACGGGAGGCUGCAGUCGAGGAUCUUCUGCAAUGGGCGCAAGCCUGACAGAGCGACGCCGCGUGGGGGAGAAGGCC
rnacentral:rRNA from 1 species